rnacentral:rRNA from 1 species
GACGAACGCUGGCGGCGCGCUUAACACAUGCAAGUCGAACGGAAAGGCCUGCUUUCCCUUGUGGAUUGCGGGUACUCGAGUGGCGAACGGGUGAGUAACACGUGAGUGAUCUGCCCCCAACUUGGGUAUAAGCCUGGGAAACUGGGUCUAAUUCCCGAUAGGACUGCAGGGUGGUGCCUGUGGUGGAAAACGAUUUUCUAGUGGUUGGGGAUGAGCUCGCGGCCUAUCAGCUUGUUGGUGGGGUAAUGGCCUACCAAGGCGGCGACGGGUAGCCGGCCUGAGAGGGUGGACGGCCACAUUGGGACUGGGAUACGGCCCAGACUCCUACGGGAGGCAGCAGUGGGGAAUAUUACACAAUGGGCGGAAGCCUGAUGCAGCGACGCCGCGUGGGGGAUGACGGCCUUCGGGUUGUAAACUCCUUUCGACCGCGAGGAAGCCACCUGGUUGGAAGGGUGGUGACGGUAGUGGUAGAAGAAGCACCGGCUAACUACGUG